rnacentral:rRNA from 1 species
CUGCUGCCUUCCGUAGGAGUUUGGGCCGUGUCUCAGUCCCAAUGUGGCCGGUCGCCCUCUCAGGCCGGCUACUGAUCGUCGCCUUGGUGAGCCGUUACCCCACCAACAAGCUAAUCAGACGCGGGUCCAUCCUAUACCACCUCAGUUUUUCACACCGAACCAUGCGGUUCUGUGCGCUUAUGCGGUAUUAGCAGUCAUUUCUAACUGUUAUCCCCCUGUAUAGGGCAGGUUACCCACGCGUUACUCACCCGUCCGCCACU